CCUACGGGGGGCAGCAGUGGGGAAUAUUGCACAAUGGGGGAAACCCUGAUGCAGCGACGCCGCGUGAGUGAAGAAGUAUUUCGGUAUGUAAAGCUCUAUCAGCAGGGAAGAAAUAGCGACCUUUGGGUCGCCAGACGGUAACUGCUAAAGAAGCGCCGGCUAACUACGUGCUAGCAGCCGCGGUAAUACGUAGGGGGCAAGCGUUAUCCGGAUUUACUGGGUGUAAAGGGAGAGUAGACGGCAGCGCAAGUCUGAAGUGAAAUGCCGGGGCUUAACCCCGGAACUGCAUUGGAAACUGUGGAGCUAGAGUGCAGGAGAGGUAGGUGGAAUUCCUAGUGUAGCGGUGAAAUGCGUAGAUAUUAGGAGGAACACCAGUGGCGAAGGCGGCUUACUGGACUGUAACUGACGUUGAGGCUCGAAAGCGUGGGGAGCAAACAGGAUUAGAUACCCGGGUAGUC
rnacentral:rRNA from 1 species